rnacentral:rRNA from 1 species
CCUGACGCAGCAACGCCGCGUGGGGGAUGAAGGCCUUCGGGUUGUAAACCCCUUUUGGGAGGGACGAAAUUGACGGUACCUCCAGAAAAAGCCCCGGCCAACUACGUGCCAGCAGCCGCGGUAAUACGUAGGGGGCGAGCGUUGUCCGGAAUCAUUGGGCGUAAAGAGCUCGUAGGCGGCUUAGCAAGUCGGCGGUGAAAUACCGAGGCUCAACCUCGGCACUGCCGUCGAUACUGCUAUGGCUAGAGUCUGGUAGAGGAGAACGGAAUUCCCGGUGUAGCGGUGGAAUGCGCAGAUAUCGGGAGGAACACCCGUAGCGAAGGCGGUUCUCUGGGCCAGUACUGACGCUGAGGAGCGAAAGCGUGGGGAGCAAACAGGAUUAGAUACCCUGGUAGUCCACGCUGUAAACGUUGGGUACUAGGUGUGGCGACCCGAUCAACGGUUGCCGUGCCGAAGCUAACGCAUUAAGUACCCCGCCUGGGAAGUACGGCCGCAAGGCUAAAACUCAAAGGAAUUGACGGGUCCCCGCACAAGCGGCGGAGCAUGCGGCUUAAUUCGAUGCGACCCGAAGAACCUUACCUGGGUUUGACAUUAUGGGAAAAGUCGUAGAGAUACGGCGUCCGAAAGGGCCC